GUGCUCAUUUUGGCAGUACAUGUACUCAAAUUGGAACAAUACAGAGAUUAGCAUGGUCCCUGCACAAGGAUGACACACAAAUUCAUGACGCGUUCCAUAUUUUU